CACAAAAGAGGCCUCUGAACAGGAAUAGUACAUGGAACAUAUCAGAUGUUAUCAGUUAAAUAUGUAUUUUUAUACCAUUCGUAAUGUGAUUUAUUAGUACGUGUGAUUCUGUACAAAUCAAUAGAAAGGCCAAUGUGUCACAGGCUAGAGGUGAGUCUAACAGAACUAGGAGAGACCAACAUGUCCAGCGCGUGGUUUACUUUUGCUGCGGUCAUUUUCUGCGCUGCCAGCGAAAGCUCAACAAAGUUCUCUCAAGUCUCUCUAGAUCCAGAAGUAUCGAUGACCCCGACUGAACUCAUCACCAG
rnacentral:sRNA from 1 species